CUAGGUGCGUGUGCAGGCAGAAAGCAGGGGCUCUUCCGCACAUGGCUCUCCACUGAACUUUUGUAUGGCAACAGGAUCAGGUAUAGCCAAGGCCUUUUCUGGAUCCCAACAGGAUUGGUAAAGCUGAACCAUUAACUGGCACAAGAAAGCGACAACCUGGUAACCCAAGGACACUUUGCUGAGUCUCAAACACAUGUAAACUGCAUGUCACUUCUAAUUCUCACCCUGUAGACCAAACUUCUCAUUGCACUGACACCCUGUACCAUCCGUUGUUUACUUCUUGUCAAAUUAUUCAAUGUAUUAAUAACACCAUUACCUCUAUGUUCAUGAUAUUAAAGCCCUCCUUCCUGUUCAUUCCUAUAAAAAUACAAGAAAAAAUUGUCUUUAGAAAAAUAUAAAUGUUAUUUGGGGGAAGUUAUUGAUGGUAAUAAAAGUAGAAGUCUUAUAGGGUU